GGAAACAGACCUAUAUAUAUAAGUGCCUUACCGAGACAUGCUCUCUGACUCCUGGGGCAGCAGUGAGAAUGUGGACAGUUUGGUGCUUGGUCUUGUACUUCUUUGGAGCAAGAGCUAAGAUAACACAAAACUCAAGUCUGGUGCUGAAAGAAGAUGAGAAUGCUACCCUGGGAUGCAGUCAAAAUGAUAGUCACAACUCUAUGUACUGGUAUCUGCAGCAGCCAGGGAAGGGGCUGCAAUUAAUCUAUUAUUCAUAUGGAGCAAAUCAGGAAAAUAAGGGUGAUAUUCACAUUGGAUAUGAAGCUAAGCGGUUAACCCGAGAAUACUUUCGUUUAGAUAUCAUGUCUGUAAAGAAGAACCAUUCAGCUAUCUAUUUCUGUGCCUCAAGUUUGGACACAACACUUCAAAGUCAUUUGCUUUCUGUACAUAAACUCCUCUCCAGUACCUUCCCUCAGAAGGGAGUAGCUCUCAGCACUCCCAGGAUAAUGGUAUGUAGGUCAAGGUGCUAUUCACAAAACAUAGGCUGCUGGGGAGCCGGACCAAGAGAGAUCAAGCAGGCUCCAUUUCAUUGAUAAUUCCUCUUUUCUGAUCGGCUGUUGAUACUCUAUCAUGUCAUAACAAUCCUUACAGUUCGUUAAUUAAAUCCAGAUAUAAAAGAAAGGAAAUGGAAGUAUUGUAGCAUACAUAUCCCUAAAUUAGUUUUACAUAGACCUCUUUCUUCCCUGAUACAGAACAGUUAAUUGUAGUAGUAUCUGCAUGUCGAAGUCAGAACUACUUUGGAGACAGGGGCUUACAGGUAUGCUCUCAUGCCACUGUGAAUCUUAUCAAGCAGCCAAAGCCACUGUGCUAUUCACUGUGUCUGAAAAGAUUAUUCUAAUAUGAAGAACUUCAAUAGAUCUAGAGGCUCCUAAAGCAGUGAGAGAAUUGAACAAGAGAUGACAAAAAGAAGCGAAAUGAAACUGUUAUGUUACAGAUUAGCCAUUACAGUCCUGUAAGUUAUAUGUAUAUACGGUGGAUAAAAAGAGUAAAGGGAAGUGGCAUAAAGUAGUAUGCAAUCUAAAAUAACAUCAUGAUCAAGAAAAAUAUAGAUCUAUUUUUAUUCAGAAAUUGUUUUCACUAUGCAGCUUACUUCUGCGUGAUGCAUAUAUUUACAUGUGCUACAUCAAUCCAUUUAUGCAUCAUACCUAUGGCUUUUCCACAGCCAGAUAUGCUGUAAGAAAAUCUACGUUUAUUUAGUUUAUCCCUUCCAUCCAUGGAUGAGUUAUGAGUAUAUUUCAAUCAACCUUGUGAUGUUUCUUCUUGCAAGUUCUCAAAGUUCUCUUUGAUUUUGAGCAAGUUCUAAACAUCUGUACUUUGAAGACAAAAGAAAUAGAAGGAGGAACAAGCAGGAUGUGAAUGUGAUUUUAUUUACUGUGUGAUUUCUUCUUGAUGGAAUGUUUCAUACAUGCACAAUGAAUGUUACAUAUCUCACACACAAAUACCUAUCAGUGUCUUUCUUGUUAAGGAUCCUAAAGCAGUACCCUUCUCCCUGUGUCCUUAAUGCAGUUCACUGCUGUUGAGGUGUAAGCAUUCAAUGUUGAAUUCCUUAAUUUUUACAAGCAAGAAAGCACCAAGCAAAGUUCUUGUGAUAUACUGUAAAAUCCAACUACACAAUUUGAUAGUCCUGAAAUAAAUAAUAAUGAGAAUAUUCUCUUUCCAGUCUGAAGUCUCUGAAGGGCUUAAAUAAAGGAUGUAUGAUGGCUAUUCUGAAAAU